GUAAGCUGGCAACGCAUGCGUCAUUUAAAAAUGGACUCUAGCAGCAGUGCGAGCACGCCGGACAGCGUGCGGGAAAUAAAUUUCUCGGAGUUGAUGGGUUUGCUUAUAGGACCGAACAAGCGAGUUAAGGAGAACGUUGUGUUUCCCCCAGGACUAUUUCCACACAGAAUCAAAACGAGGGAUGAACUGCGCGUGGAAGCCGUCUUUGAAAGCUGCGCCUUCAAGACCGGCAUCAGCUGUGUUCUCGGUGGCGCAUUCGGAGCAGCGCUUGGACUUUUCUCUGCGAGCGUGGAUCCAAAUGUCACCGGCGGUGGUGUGGACCCUUCGAAGAUGACAGUGCGGCAGGUUUUCACCGACAUGAAGUCGAAAUCCGUGUCUUACGCUAAGAACUUUGCCAUUGUCGGUGCCAUGUUCGCAGCCAUCGAGUGCACCAUCGAGUCGCAUCGUGCAAAGACAGACUGGAAAAAUGGCACCAUGGCUGGUGCACUAACUGGAGGACUAAUAGGAUUUCGAGGAAGGUUAUCAGCUGACUGGGUGCCCAUUGACUCUACAUUGCGAUGCCAUCUCCGGCUUUGUGUACCGGCUCACGUCUGGUCACCAGAGCUAGGCAGCAUGAGGAUUGGGUCAAUCCAGAGAUAGACCAUGAUGGCUUUCUUUUCUCUGCAAGAGAUUCAAGUUGUCCAUGAAGGAAAUACUCCACGUCCAUGGCAAGCACAAUUUUCUUGUGAUCCUAGACGAAAAACACUCUUCGGUUCCAUAGUACCCAAUUGGGUACAUUGCUUUUAUUUCUUUUCAGGGUUAGCUCAGCUGCAAUUACAUAAAAUAUCCAAUCCCCUAUUUCAAGCCUGAAGCAUGCGGAACUGUGUGAAAGUGAUCUGGUCUAAAGCCUGGUCUCCUGGGUGCUGCAGGCUUUGCGGCGUUUUCAACACUGAUUGACUACUACCUGCGAUGACACCUAGUCAAACUAAUAUGUACAUACUAUAGUAAAUAUGUUCCAUCGCAUAAUUCACCACGCACUGGUUCUUGUGUUCAUUAAUAGUGGCCAAAGCUCUGACUCUAACUGUGCAGCAAAGCAUUGUGCCAUCGUGUGUGUGGACUUUGUGUUGAAGAUACUCUAGACAGUUUGGUACAUUGAAAUGAAGGGUGUGGUGUGUCAAAUGUGAAGGGACCAGACGUCUUGAUGUAUGCAGUAUGGAGAUUUAUUGCGAUAGCAGUCAUGCGGAUGCACAAGGCGCAUUCACGCCGUCCGCACUGCCGCUGUCCCACGUGCGAAGGGUUGGGGGAGCUUCAAAGACGCGGAAUGCGUUUGGUUUCGUAAAUGACAAAGCCACUUUCACACACCAUCAGCACUCCGAUCAGCAAGAUUGGUGGCAGAACCAGUGCGGCAUUCUGCCUUGCACAGCUGUCAUGGGUGUUCCUGAUAAGCUGCUGUGUGUUAUGCUGUGGUCCGAGCAAUAAACGUUAAGCUAACAUUAUUUAAUAUUUCACUGGGCACUGACUAACGCCAGUAGUUUCCCAUCUGUUUCAUUUCCUGUGCCAUCAAUGUGCGACACCUGAAAUGCGCUGGUGAUCCCCUCCUACACACCAGCAUUGUGAGAUACCUGGUACAUAGAUAGCGGGACGCUGUUCCUUCUGCCCAACAGAGUUUCUUCGCGCACUGGGUCACUCCAACAUGUCGCACCCGCGUAUAGUUAGAACACUGUUAGAGAAGUUCAAGCGCAAUGUUAAGCCUUGCUAUCGCUGUCAAUGAUUUGCCCUUCGAGCAAAACUGACAAAUUUUUAUUUAUGUGGUCCUCAUUGUCUCGGUGACACCGUGUUUUGUUUGACUUUGGUUCUCGAAAGCCAGCGCAGAGCUGCCAUGCAGCCUUCCCUGCGCUACCACCUUAACAGGCCUACAAGCUGCCAUGCAUGCAACUGAAACCCAAACUAGGGCCAGGCCGUAGCGUACUGAAUCUCUGCAGCAGAAAUAAAUCUCAUAGUUUUGUGCAUUUAUACAGCAUCUACUGGGAUGAUUGCUCCUGAAGGCACAAACUCGAUUCCUCUAAACCCCCGUCGUUCUGCCAUGAAUCAGUCAAAUCGGUAAUUGAGACACUUGCCACUGCCACAGCAACUUGGUCUUUGUGACAGCAAAACCAAUAUAUGGUGCGUGAUAAGUUUUUAUUGCAAAAAGAAAAACAGAUAAACAGCGGACAAUCGAUGUCAUGAUUAUAUCACAGUAUCUUCCUCAUUAUUCAUCAUAAAUAUUACUACAGCAUCAUUGUUUUUAUCAACAAUUACAGCUUGUCGCAAAUGCACGUCUACAAAGUGAUUGUCAACACAACAUAGCAUCCGAGAGAAACAAAUUUAGUUGCGUCACAAACGUAGCAAUCGCUUCGCUUAAGUAUGUGCAGUUUUUCUCGUUUCACUUGUAUCAUUUAAUACAUACAGCAUCGCAAGAGAAGUCAUGGCACUUGACAAAAAGGAAGUGUGUUACGAGCAGUAGGGAUGUAUGCAUGUCUUUUGUACACUUUGUAUGCUAACAAAAAUAAGUGCUCAACUCUAACAAAACAAGGCACGUGGUGGCAAUACGACUUGUGUCCUUCAGCAGAGAGGCAGUGUGCUGCUGCGGUGCAUCACUAAAGUCA